rnacentral:rRNA from 1 species
UGGGGAAUUUUGCACAAUGGGGGAAACCCUGAUGCAGCGACGCCGCGUGAUUUAGAAGGCCUUCGGGUUGUAAAAAUCUUUUUUACGGGAUGAAAAUGACAGUACCGUAAGAAUAAGGUCCGGCUAAAUACGUGCCAGCAGCCGCGGUAAUACGUAUGGACCGAGCGUUGGCCGGAAUCAUUGGGCGUAAAGGGUACGUAGGCGGCCUAGUAAGUUAGAAGUGAAAUAAUAUAGCUCAACUAUAUAAAGCUUUUAAAACUGCUAGGCUUGAGCGCUGGAAGGGAAAGUGGGAUUCCUAGUGUAGCGUUGAAAUGCGCAGAUAUUAGGAAGAAUACCGGUGGCGAAGGCGACUUUCUGGUCAUCAUCUGACGCUGAGGUACGAAAGCGUGGGUAGCAAACAGG